UUACAAUUAAGUCAAUUUGUGUGUCUAUAUCAUUUCAUACUCAAUUAUUCAUUUAAAAUUUUGCUUGAUGUAGUGGAAAGAUCAGUAGAUUAGAAAUCAGAUUUAUAGGAUCCAUCUCCAGGACACUUAAGAAGCCAUCAGUCAACUCUUCUGUAUUGAAGACAAUAAAACAGGUAUCCAAGAAGCCUGGAUGGAUUGAGGCAGUUUGUCCUGUUCACCGAUUAAAUCUUGAGGAUCAUUUUCAUAUCUUUUAAGGAAAAUUACUUGUCCAAGACACAUGAUCCAACAGCAGAGGAGUAGACCCCAACCAGGAACAUCCGUGACCUGGGGAAUCAAGAAGAGAAGGACCAGAUGACAAAGGCAUUGCUGAUGACGAUGGUCCCAAAGGAUCAGUUGGAUGUCAGUAACCUUGCAGAUGCUGGUGAUAGA
rnacentral:lncRNA from 1 species